rnacentral:ncRNA from 2 species
UGAAACCACAAGGGGAGCCGCCGGCGCGGCUGAGAGUGGACGGCAACGGUCCAGACUCUUCGAACCUGUAAGAUCAUUCUUGCGCAGGGAUGUGGAUGGAAAACGAU